GACGAACGCUGGCGGCGUGCCUAAUACAUGCAAGUAGAACGCUGAAGGAGGAGCUUGCUUCUCUGGAUGAGUUGCGAACGGGUGAGUAACGCGUAGGUAACCUGCCUGGUAGCGGGGGAUAACUAUUGGAAACGAUAGCUAAUACCGCAUAAGAGUAGAUGUUGCAUGACAUUUGCUUAAAAGGUGCACUUGCAUCACUACCAGAUGGACCUGCGUUGUAUUAGCUAGUUGGUGAGGUAACGGCUCACCAAGGCGACGAUACAUAGCCGACCUGAGAGGGUGAUCGGCCACACUGGGACUGAGACACGGCCCAGACUCCUACGGGAGGCAGCAGUAGGGAAUCUUCGGCAAUGGACGGAAGUCUGACCGAGCAACGCCGCGUGAGUGAAGAAGGUUUUCGGAUCGUAAAGCUCUGUUGUAAGAGAAGAACGAGUGUGAGAGUGGAAAGUUCACACUGUGACGUAUCUACCAGAAAGAGACGCA
rnacentral:rRNA from 1 species